AAUUUGUAAAGCAUCAGUUCUUAGAGAGAAGGAAUUUUAGCGAAAAGAAUCUCAUAUAAGAAUUGAAGCACUCCUCUGCCCUUCUGGAAUGACCCGCAAACGCCCUGUGGGUCGCCGUAGCUUGCAAAGUUGAUUGCUGAGAUGGGACGACCCUGGCAAGCCAACUCCAAAGCAUUAUUCUCAUAAGCACUCCCGCAUGCUUUUCCAACCGUAACAGUUUGCAAGUUCACCGACGCUGGAUUUCCUCCCAACUCCUCAAAAAGUACAAGCGUGUUAUCGCCAUUUGACAAAAACGAGCGCGGGACAUGGUACCUAAAAUUGCCAUUACCUCAUUUAGUAAAAGUAAAUAUAGAAAUGAAGUUUAGAAGACGUAAGAGUUUUACCAUCUCUGGGUAGGCUGACCACAAUUCGAAACACAUUUGUUAUUAUCAUAAGAACCACGAUAAUCACAAGGGGCGUCGCUGCAUCCAUCCUUCUCAGCAAGGAAGCUGGGCCAGUAUCGUCCCAAGUUGUUCCCAUUCACCCAAGCAGAUCCUUUGCCCAUCCCUUGCAAGUCCACGACGACUGGGUCUGUUCCUGAAGGAGCUUUAAAGGUAGUCUGCCCCAGAAUUUAUUAAAAAAAGAUAGGUUGAGGGUCGUUCGUUGAAUAAAUAGAAUUAAUAAUUUGAAGAAUGACUGACUAAAAGUAAGUAAUGAGUUCUGUCUGUAAUUAAUGGGUUACCACCUUGUACCAAGUCAUCAUUGUAUUGGUGGGGAGGCUCUCGGUUUGCCAUGUGGAGGCAAAUUUUGAAUUGGCACUGUAGAGCCUGUUUUCAAAGCCAUGGAGGCCCACCUUGUAAGCCCAUUUGUGGCCUGACAGGUCCUUUGUGAUGCUCUCGUCGCGCUUCUUUCCUAUCAACACAACUGGCCCAGGUAUUCCGGUUUCUGUCACGUCGAACUUGGGCCCGUAAUUCUGUCCAUAAACAAAAUUUCAAAAAUUAAAUUAAGAAAAACAUUUAUAGUUGAUUUCUCAA